rnacentral:rRNA from 1 species
GAUGAACGCUGGCGGCGUGCCUAACACAUGCAAGUCGAACGGAGCUUGACCCUUCGGGGUUAAGCUUAGUGGCGAACGGGUGAGUAACGCGUGAGGAACCUGCCCUUUAGAGGGGGACAACAGUUGGAAACGACUGCUAAUACCGCAUAACGUACAUUGGGGACAUCCCCGAAGUACCAAAGGAGCAAUCCGCUGAAGGAUGGCCUCGCGUCUGAUUAGAUAGUUGGUGAGGUAACGACUCACCAAGUCGACGAUCAGUAGCCGGACUGAGAGGUUGAACGGCCACAUUGGGACUGAGACACGGACCAGACUCCUACGGGAGGCAGCAGUGAGGAAUAUUGGUCAAUGGUCGGAAGACUGAACCAGCCAUGCCGCGUGAAGGAAGAAUGUCCUAUGGAUUGUAAACUUCUUUUGUAAGGGAGCAAUAAGUUCCAUGCGUGGGAUGAUGAGAGUACCUUACGAAUAAGCAUCGGCUAACUCCGUG